rnacentral:rRNA from 1 species
AAUUGCCAUCAUUCAGUUGGGCACUUUAGAGAGACUGCCGGUGUUAAGCCGGAGGAAGGUGGGGAUGACGUCAAGUCCUCAUGGCCUUUAUGUCUAGGGCUACACACGUGCUACAAUGGGUGGUACAAAGAGCAGCUAACUCGCGAGAGUAUGCAAAUCUCAAAAAGCCAUCCUCAGUUCGGAUUGGAGUCUGCAACUCGACUCCAUGAAGUUGGAAUCGCUAGUAAUCGUGGAUCAGCAUGCCACGGUGAAUACGGUUCCCGGGCCUU